rnacentral:rRNA from 1 species
GAUGAACGCUGGCGGCGUGCCUAAUACAUGCAAGUCGAGCGAAUGGAUUAAGAGCUUGCUCUUAUGAAGUUAGCGGCGGACGGGUGAGUAACACGUGGGUAACCUGCCCAUAAGACUGGGAUAACUCCGGGAAACCGGGGCUAAUACCGGAUAACAUUUUGAACCGCAUGGUUCGAAAUUGAAAGGCGGCUUCGGCUGUCACUUAUGGAUGGACCUGCGUCGCAUUAGCUAGUUGGUGAGGUAACGGCUCACCAAGGCAACGAUGCGUAGCCGACCUGAGAGGGUGAGCGGCAACACUGGGACUGAGACACGGCCCAGACUCCUACGGGAGGCAGCAGUAGGGAAUCUUCCGCAAUGGACGAAAGUCUGACGGAGCAACGCCGCGUGAGUGAUGAAGGCUUUCGGGUCGUAAAACUCUGUUGUUAGGGAAGAACAAGUGCUGGUUGAAUAAGCUGGCACCUUGACGGUACCUAACCAGAAAGCCACGGCUAACUACGUGCCAGCCGCCGCCGUAA